rnacentral:rRNA from 1 species
CAGCAGCCGCGGGAAUACGUAGGGUGCGAGCGUUGUCCGGAAUUAUUGGGCGUAAAGGGCUCGCAGGCGGUUUCUUAAGUCUGAUGUGAAAGCCCCCGGCUCAACCGGGGAGGGUCAUUGGAAACUGGGAAACUUGAGUACAGAAGAGGAGAGUGGAAUUCCACGUGUAGCGGUGAAAUGCGUAGAGAUGUGGAGGAACACCAGUGGCGAAGGCGACUCUCUGGUCUGUACUGACGCUGAGGAGCGAAAGCGUGGGGAGCGAACAGGAUUAGAUACCCCUGUAGUCCCUGUCUCUUAUACC